rnacentral:tRNA from 1 species
GUCCUUGUAGCUCAAUGGAUAGAGCGUUGGACUUCAAAUAGAAAGGUCGUGGGUUCGAAUCCCACGUGGGAUG